rnacentral:sRNA from 1 species
GUCCCUGGAGCCUCACUAAUGCAAGAUCCAGAUCCAUACCCGGAGAGGAGAUAAAAGUCUAGACAAUAGACGGCUGUUUAUGACAAGGAGGCUCUCCAAGUUUGGGGCCAGGCGAUAAAUCUCUGGCGAAUCUUCCUGUAACUCAACUUCUGGCUGUAGUGA